ACUCAUCUUUAUUAGGUGUAAUGCAGAUAUAGCACUAUCAUGAAGUUAAAAAACAAAACGAAACAAAAACCAAUAAAACAACACAAGGGACUGGGGAGACUGGGCUUUCAUAAGUUCUUUAAAACCUCUUUCAGAUACUACUUCCUCCACAAAGACUUUUAAAAAUGAUUUUGUUUAUUUUUAUUUUAUAUGUUUUUUUUUUUUUUGCCCGAAUGUAUAUCUGUGUGAGGGUGUUAGGUAGUCAGAAACUGCUGGAGUUACAUACAGAUAGUUGUAAACUGUCAUGUGGGUGCCGGAAGCUGAAUCCCAGGUCCUCUGAAAAAGCAGCCACUUCUCUCAACUGCCGAUCCUCCUCUCCAAGCCCUUCACAAAGACUUUCUGAAAUUUGAUUUCUGUGUCAAUUUAAACUAAUAAUUUCCCCUUAUGUUAUAUUGGGAUGUUACAGAAUCUCAGAAUUUACAUUUUUCUUGUACUAAAUAUCUUUAAUAGUACUCAUAUUUUGAUGUCCCUACCCAUUACAUACUAUAAGCCUUAAACCUCAAAGUUUAAAGGGAUGAGAUGUUUGUUUUUUGAGAACAGUCACUUGAGGCAACCUUCCUGUAUCUACUUCCCGAGUGCUGGGAUUGUAAGCAUAUACCACCACAAUAGGUUGUCUUAAAAAAAAAUGUUCAUGGUGUUUGAUUUCACUGAAAGAACACUUAGGAGUUUUAACAUCCAUCAAGAGGUAGCAGCCAGUAAUUAGGUACAUGAUUUUGGCUGCCUACCUACUAUUUACUGUUUUUUUUUUUUUUUUUUAAGACUAAUUUUGUGUGUGUGUGUGGGUAUGCACCAGAGGACAAUUUGUUGGAAUGGGUUCUUUUCUUUUACCAUGUGGGUCCCAGGGAUUGAAUGCUCAGUGGCAUGUCAUGUCACUGGUCCAUCUACUAAUUUUGGGACAGCAUUCACUCUGUAGCUCAGGCUAGCCUUGAAUCCAUGUGAUCAAUCCUUUUGCCCUUCCUCAGUUUCUGGAGUGCUGGAACUUAUUGAUGUGAGCCACCAUGUUCAGUUUAGUUUUCUAAAUGUUCACAAUUUCAUCACACACACACACACACACACACACACACACACACACAGUGCUUUGAUUCCCACUCACUACCUCGACUAUUCAUUCUAUACGUCUUAUGGCACUUUUGUUCUACACCAUUUUAUUUCGCUGGGUUACUGUGCAAUUCCUGAAUCUGAUCUAAGAUCCGUUUCCUACUUCCAAAGAAUUUAUGUCCAAAAUUCCAAACUGUAUAACUAGCACUCUGUGUAAAAACACCAAGGACCUCCAACUUCAAUAUGCUAAAUUUGAACUCAUUUUUAAAGGAGUCUUAAGCUUUUUCCGGAUUCACUGUAUCCCAGAGCAUGCUUUCAUCAUCUCUCACCCGGGUUACUGCCCACUUAUUUAAAAACAAUUACUCCAUUUCCUCAAGUAAGCAUCCUCCACAUACUUUAACUCUGACGUUUGUCCCAAAUACACUCAACUAACAGCUGUUUGAAAAAUCCUCCAUUCCCGGUGUAAUAAACAGCCUUUGAAUUCCAAAGUCAGGCCCUAGAUUCCUCCAGGAUAACUGGCCAUCUCUCCUCGCCUACAGCCUUGCCAGCCUGAGCAAGUCCUUGCACAGGUUAGGGAACCCAGCAGAGUCUUAGCGAGUGUUUACUGAAGGUCCAGCGCAGCUGAGUGACGUCACGUCCGAUAUCCGGUGGUGUCUUCCUACGUCGUUCUGAGGGAGGUUGACAAACAGGGUUUCAGCCUUUAAGCUAGAGUUCGUAACUGCCGUUGACCUCCUCCUUUACGAAGGCCCAGAGCACCAGGUCAGAGCUCUGAGUCUGGGUCUGAAUUCAGCCGCAGGGCCCGGCCCAGGGUGGAACCCUGUGCGAGAGGAGCGCGGGCGCUGCCCGGACCCUGACCCAAGCGCAGAAGCGGCCCUCUAACACUCCGCGGCGGCGUUUCCUCCGAAGCUCUCGCGAGAGGAGCCGGGGAAAGAUGGCUGCGCCGGGUCUUUCCGAGUGAGGAGGAGGCGGCGGCGGCGGCGCCGGGCGUCGUGCGGUCGUGGUCUCUUGAGCUGCGGCUUUCCUCGUCCGAGACGAGGGCCGCCGCCUCCGGGAGAUGCGCGUGUCGCGGACCCGCGGUCGCCCCGGGAGUUCAUGCUGCGUGCUAGGCUCGCGGCCGCCGCUCUAAUCGCCCGGCGCCGCCGCCGCGCCGGCUCGGCCCGCGGUGAGCCUCCCGGAGCCUGUCCCGCGCGCCGCGGCGGCUAUGACCGGGGAGAAGAUCCGCUCCCUGCGGAGGGACCACAAGCCCAGCAAAGAGGACGGGGACGUGCUGGAGCCCUGCGAGGAGGAGGCGACAGCCGCGCUCGGCGGCGCCUUCACCGGGGGCAGAAGCGGACCGGGCGGCAGCGGCAAGGGCGGCAAGGCCUGCCAUAAGAUCUUCAGCCACCACCACCGGCUGCAGCUGAAGGCGCCCGCCGUUCCGGGCCCCGGCGUUCCGGCCCCGCCGCAGCACAACGCAGUGACUGCCACCUGCCCUGCCCCGGCCUGCCUGGGCGGCAGCAACCCCGCUUUAGUCGCUGACGGAGGCGGCUGCCCCUCGCUCUACCCGGUCCACGAGUGCGUCUUUAAGGGGGACGUGAGGAGACUGUCCUCGCUCAUCCGCACGCACAAUAUCGGACAGAAAGAUAAUCAUGGAAACACUCCUUUACAUCUUGCUGUGAUGUUAGGAAAUAAAGAAUGCGCACAUUUACUGUUGGCUCAUAAUGCUCCAGUAAAGGUGAAAAAUGCUCAGGGAUGGAGCCCUCUUGCGGAAGCCAUCAGCUAUGGAGACAGACAGAUGAUCACAGCUCUUCUAAGGAAACUCAAGCAGCAAUCUAGGGAGAGUGUUGGAGAAAAACGACCUAGGUUGUUAAAAGCCCUAAAAGAGUUAGGUGACUUUUACCUAGAACUUCACUGGGAUUUUCAAAGCUGGGUGCCUUUGCUUUCCCGAAUUCUGCCUUCUGAUGCCUGUAAAAUAUACAAGCAAGGUAUCAACAUCAGGCUUGACACAACUCUCAUAGACUUUACUGACAUGAAGUGCCAACGAGGGGAUCUAAGCUUCAUCUUCAAUGGGGAUGCUGCACCCUCUGAGUCUUUUGUAGUGUUAGACAAUGAACAAAAAGUUUAUCAGCGAAUACACCAUGAGGAGUCAGAGAUGGAAACAGAAGAAGAAGUUGAUAUUUUAAUGAGCAGUGAUAUUUAUUCUGCAACUUUAUCAACCAAAUCCAUUUCUUUCACACGUGCCCAAACUGGAUGGCUUUUUCGGGAAGAUAAAACAAAUCAAGGAAAAGGAGGGAGCACCUGAGUGAGGAGGACAUCCUGCGGAACAAGGCCAUCAUGGAGAGCCUGAGCAAAGGGGGGAGCCUGGCGGAGCAGAGCUUUGAGCCGGUUAGAAGACAGUCCCUUACCCCUCCUCCUCAGAACACUAUUACGUGGGAAGAAUACAUAUCCGCUGAAAAUGGAAAGGCACCACACCUGGGCAGAGAACUGGUGUGCAAAGAGAGCAAGAAAACAUUUAAAGCCACUGUAGCCAUGAGCCAGGAAUUUCCCCUGGGAAUUGAGUCAUUGUUGAAUGUUCUAGAAGUAAUAGCACCCUUCAAGCACUUUAACAAGCUUAGAGAAUUCGUUCAAAUGAAGCUUCCUCCAGGCUUUCCUGUAAAAUUAGAUAUACCCGUGUUUCCCACAAUCACAGCCACUGUGACUUUUCAGGAGUUCCGAUGUGAUGAAUUUGAUGGAUCCAUCUUUGCUAUCCCUGAAGACUACAAGGAAGACCCAAGUCGUUUUCCUGACCUUUAACUGAUCCAGAAGAGCAUGAGGCUCCAGGUGGCAAAGGCAGAGCUUUUCUAAGCAGAGUGUCAACACAUCAGUGAUGUGAUGAAAAACUGACCUCUAAUAAAACAUCCACAGCUUCCUGAUGUGCCAUUCAUUCAUCUUUUUAAAGUCACUUCCUGUCUGUAAUAGUUUGACACCCAGUGACCCUGAGACCUUCCUAUGUAAAGCAGCUGUGAGUGCUGUGAUUUGUUUUUAAAGAUUUUUACACUUCUUGUUGAAAUAUAUAUCAAAUAAAUAUAUCUAUAGCUAUAUCUAAAACACUCCUGGACCAUUAACGUAAAUUCUGUGUCUUAAGAGAUAUGAAACCCUUUGAAAUGCGUCACCUCUAUUCAGGGUGGCAUGUAUAAAUGUUCCUUUAAGCUUUGUUUUCAUCAUUAUGUAUAGUUCUGUAAUUUGAAUGUUUAACCAACUAGAAGGAAUGCAGUUUUCUGAGGUGAACAGAGCAAUGGUAACCAUCAGUUUCAUUUACAGCCUGUUGCAAUACAUUCCGAGGGAACGCUCCCUGCAGGGAAUGUGGUGCCCCCCCCCCCCCCCAGCACCUUGAUAACAGUUGCAUUUAUAGCUGCAAUGCAUUCCAAGGGAGUGCUCCCUGCAGGGAAUGCGGUGCCCCCCAGCACCUCCAUGCAGCUCAUCGUGGUGCUCUUUGUUUCACCUGAAUCCUUUUUCAGUGGAAACUGUUUGUUACUGAUCUUCCUUUCAUAGAGCUUCUAUUUUUUUUUUUUUUUUUCCUAAACUUGAGUUUAAAGGUCCUUGUUCUGUUGAUAGGUACGGUAACAUGCUUACAGCUAGCCCUCUCCUAAGUAUCAGCACUUUAAACAAAUUCCAAAUUUUUAAACUUGCUUCCUAGUAAGUGCAUGUAAGUCAGAUUAUUUUUAAUGGAAUAUGGAUGCAUUGGUGUCAAUUUUAAAAAAUAAAUAUGUAUUUUGGACAAUUAUGUAUUAAUGAUUUCAAAAUAAGGUAAAAACAUUUUAUAUGUAACAAUAUAUUUGUUAUAGGCUAAACGUCCAGAAACACACAAGAUUGAAAGUUCUUUUUUUUUAAGUCAUAGGAAAAUAAUUAUUGAUUUGUCUCCAAAGUGUUAAAAUCAUGCAUUACUCACUUUUACACCUAAAUUUUUUUCAUAUUUAUUAAAAAAUAGUUUAAAGAUCCAAGAAAGAAAAGUAGGGAGAAUAAUGUUCAAAUCACAAUAGUAUCAUGUUUUAUUAAAGACUUAGCUAAAUGUUUGUGUCCUGAUGAGAUGUGUCAAGAUACAUUUGUCAGGUUGUUACAGUGUGACUAGUAGUUUAAACUUUGACCAAGACUUUUAUUGAAAGAUGACUUAUUUAAAAAUCCAAAGUGUUAGCCAUAAGAUAGUUCUCUCUCUCUCUCUCUUUUUUUUUUAAAUUUAUUUAAUGUGGGUACACUGUAGCUGUCUUCAGACACACCAGAAUAGGGCAUCAGAUUCCAUUACAGGUGGUUGUGAGCCACCAUGUGGUUGCUGGGAAUUGAACUCAGGACCUCUGGAAGAACAGGUAGUGCUCUUAACCACUGAGCCAUCUCUCCAGUCCCCGAUAUUUAUCUCUUUACAGUUGCAUCUCACAUAGUGAUACCACCUGGCAUAUGUUGACAUUUUACUUUUUCUAAGAAAAAUAAUUGAGUUAAAAAAAUCAAAGCCCUCACCACUCCAGUAAGUGAUCUAUUUAGUUUUAAGAACUGAGAAGCCCAAAGCUAGCAUGAUGAAAUGGAGGCAGUGGCUGAUCCAGUGACUUAGCUAUUUAGUUCUGUUGUCAAUCAUGAUUCCAAGGUUCUGAAAGGCAGUGACACUGUUGCUUUAGGCUCAUUGGCUUGAACAUGUAGGAAGAAAUGAUAAAUUUGCAGCUUGGGAUUUAGAAUUUCUUAAACAUGUGAAUAUUUUGCUGGGUAACACUGGAGAUAGGACUACUGAAAAUUGUUGCACUGGAUUGUACUACUGAAAAUGGUUGCACUGGAUUGUUUUGAGACUUCAAUUUACCUUUAAUGAGUAGUAGAAUCAGAUUGUCCAUUCCAAAAUGUUUUUUCUCUGAUCACAAAGAACAAGUGUAUCUCUUAUGAUGGUGGAAAAAAAAGGAGUUAAUUAAUGCAAAUAAACUUUUCACAAUAUUAGACUUUU